CAUCUCAUCCGUUUGCCUACUUAGUACUUACCCCACAGAUUUUUUCAAUUUCGAUAAAAAGAAGGAAAGAAAGAAAGCGAUUACGCUUCGACAGCAUUGGUUGCAUUGCAAUACUUCUGCGCUCGUACUUUCCAGUCCUUCUUACAUCUGUCUCCCCACAUCGUCGAUCCAUUUAGCCAAUCGAGCUGAGGGAGUCGCAGACAUUUUUUUCUCGCUUGUGGUUGCAUCCUUCAUCUUUAAUGGUCAACAGAGCUCAAAUCCAUACUAGCAACUCAGCACUCAUUGCCAUGAUUGCAGAUGAGGACACUGUAGUUGGAUUUCUCUUGGCUGGAGUGGGUAAUGUUGACUUACGAAGAAAGACAAAUUCACUUAUCGUGGACUCAAAACACAACCAUUAAACAAAUUGAAGAUGCAUUUAAAGAGUUCACCACCAGGGAGGACAUUGCUGUAGUGCUGAUUAGCCAAUAUGUUGCAAAUAUGAUAAGGUUUUUGGUUGAUAGUUACAACCAGCCAGUUCUCGCUUUUUUAGAGAUUCCUUCUAAGGACCAUCCUUAUGACCCUGCACAUGAUUCAGUUAUUUCACGAGUAAAGUACCUCUUUUCGACAGAAUCAGUAGCAUCUGGGAGGCGCUAGUUACAGAUGUUUCAGUUUUCUUGAUGCAUUCCCAUCAGACUAUGUUUGAUAUGUUUCUCCAUUGUAUAUCUAGAAGACUAUGCAUUAAGAAGUUGACCAUCCUUCUUCCUAUCUAUGUAAUCUAUUGUAAUAAUUUGGAUGCAUGUUCUAAUGAUUAUUCUAAUAAAUGAGUUUUACAAGUAA